rnacentral:rRNA from 1 species
AGGACGUGGGAAAGUCCGGCAUAGAAGGUGAGACCCCGGUAGUCGAAAUUUCAUUAUCUUGUUUUUAGUAUCCCAAGUAAUACCGGACUCGUGUAAUCCGGUAUGAAUCUGGCGGGACCACCCGCUAAGCCUAAAUACUCUCUGGUGACCGAUAGUGAACAAGUACCGUGAGGGAAAGGUGAAAAGAACCCCGCAAGGGGAGUGAAAUAGAAUCUGAAACCGUUUGCAUACAAACCGUUGGAGCUGCCUUGUGCAGUGACAGCGUGCCUUUUGAAGAAUGAGUCUACGAGUUAGUGUGAUGUAGCAAGGUUAACCCGUCGAGGGGAAGCCGUAGCGAAAGCGAGUCUGAAUAGGGCGAAUAAGUCGCAUCAUCUAAACCCGAAGCGAGGUGAUCUCGCCAUGACCAGGUUGAAGCGCGGGUAAGACCGCGUGGAGGACCGAACCCACUAAAGUUGAAAAUUUAGGGGAUGAGUUGUGGCUAGGGGUGAAAGACCAAUCAAACUUCGUGAUAGCUGGUUCUCUCCGAAAUGCAUUUAGGUGCAGCGUCGCGUGUUUCUUACUGGAGGUAGAGCUACUGGAUGGCCGAGGGGACCUACAAGUUUACCAACGUCAGCCAAACUCCGAAUGCCAGUAAGUGAGAACGUGGCAGUGAGACAGUGGGGGAUAAGCUUCAUUGUCGAGAGGGAAACAACCCAGAACAGCAACUAAGGUCCCAAAGCCUGUGCUAAGUGGAAAAGGAUGUGAAGUCGCAUAGACAACCAGGAGGUUGGCUUAGAAGCAGCCACCCUUAAAAGAGUGCGUAAUAGCUCACUGGUCAAGUGAUUUCGCGCCGACAAUGUAACGGGGCUCAAGCACAGCACCGAAGUUCUGUCAUUCACACAUUAUCCCGGUCUUAUGGUUCGCCAGAAAGAUCCAGGAGUGUGGAUGGGUAGGAGAGCGUUGUGUAACUAGUGAAGCGGCGGAGGAAUCCAGCCGUGGAAGUUACACAAGUGAGAAUGUAGACAUGAGUAGCGAAAGACGGGUGAGAAACCCGUCCACCGAAUGACCAAGGGUUCCUGAGCCAGGCUAAUCCGCUCAGGGUAAGUCGGGUCCUAAGGCGAGGCCGACAGGCGUAGUCGAUGGACAACUGGUUGAUAUUCCAGUACCCGCAAUAAACCGUCCAUGACGAAUCAAUAAUGCUAAGUGUUUGAAGUUGGCUAGCAAUAGCUGAUGGAGCGCACGACCCAAGUUGUUAGUAGUCAAGCAAUGGAGAGACGCAGGAAGGUAGUCCAACCCAGGCGAUGGUUGACCUGGGGUAAGAGUGUAGGAGGUUCUGUAGGAAAAUCCGCAGAACAAUCUCUGAGACUUAAUGCCGAGCCGUAAGGCGAAGUGGAUGAUCCUAUGCUGCCAAGAAAAUCUUCUAGCGAGGUUUAUAGUGGCCCGUACCCGAAACCGACGCAGGUGGUCAGGUAGAGAAUACCAAGGUGAUCGAGAGAAUCGUGGUGAAGGAACUCGGCAAAAUACCCCCGUAACUUCGGGAGAAGGGGGGCUAAUUUUUGUGUAGAGGUUUACCUUCGAAGCAUAAGUUAGACGCAGAGAAUAGGCUCAAGCGACUGUUUACCAAAAACACAGGUCCGUGCGAAGUUGCAAAACGAUGUAUACGGACUGACGCCUGCCCGGUGCUGGAAGGUCAAGGGGACUAGUUAGCUCUUCGGAGCGAAGCUGAGAACUUAAGCCCCAGUAAACGGCGGUGGUAACUAUAACCAUCCUAAGGUAGCGAAAUUCCUUGUCGGGUAAGUUCCGACCUGCACGAAUGGCGUAACGAUUUGGGCGCUGUCUCCACCACGAACUCGGC